rnacentral:rRNA from 1 species
GACGAACGCUGGCGGCGUGCUUAACACAUGCAAGUCGAACGGAAAGGCCCUGCUUGCAGGGUACUCGAGUGGCGAACGGGUGAGUAACACGUGGGUGAUCUGCCCUGCACUUCGGGAUAAGCCUGGGAAACUGGGUCUAAUACCGGAUAGGAGCCAUUUUUAGUGUGAUGGUUGGAAAGUUUUUUCGGUGUAGGAUGAGCUCGCGGCCUAUCAGCUUGUUGGUGGGGUAAUGGCCUACCAAGGCGGCGACGGGUAGCCGGCCUGAGAGGGUGGACGGCCACAAUGGGACUGGGAUACGGCCCAGACUCCUACGGGAGGCAGCCGGGGGGAAUAUUGCACAAUGGGCGGAAGCCUGAUGCAGCGACGCCGCGUGGGGGAGGGCGGCCUUCGGGUUGUAAACUCCUUUCGCUAGGGACGAAGCUUUUUGUGACGGUACCUAGAUAAGAAGCACCGGCUAACUACGUG